rnacentral:rRNA from 1 species
ACCCGCACAAGCGGUGGAUGAUGUGGUUUAAUUCGAUGCAACGCGAAAACCUUACCCACCUUUGACAUGUACGGAACCUUUAGAGAUAGAGGGUGCUCGAAAGAGAGCCGUAACACAGGUGCUGCAUGGCUGUCGUCAGCUCGUGUCGUGAGAUGUUGGGUUAAGUCCCGCAACGAGCGCAACCCUUGUCAUUAGUUGCUACAUUCAGUUGGGCACUCUAAUGAGACUGCCGGUGACAAGCCGGAGGAAGGUGGGGAUGACGUCAAGUCCUCAUGGCCCUUAUAGGUGGGGCUACACACGUCAUACAAUGGCUGGUACAAAGGGUUGCCAACCCGCGAGGGGGAGCCAAUCCAUAAAGCCAGUCGUAGUCCGGAUCGUAGUCUGCAACUCGACUACGUGAAGUCGGAAUCGCUAGUAAUCGUGGAUCAGCAUGUCGCGGUGAAUACGUUCCCGGGUCUU